UAACCUGCCCAAGAGAUCGGGAUAACACCUGGAAACAGAUGCUAAUACCGGAUAACAACAGAUGAUGCCUAUCAACUGUUUAAAAGAUGUUCUGCUAUCACUCUUGGAUGGACCUGCGGUGCAUUAGCUAGUUGGUAGGGUAACGGCCUACCAAGGCGAUGAUGCAUAGCCGAGUUGAGAGACUGAUCGGCCACAUUGGGACUGAGACACGGCCCAAACUCCUACGGGAGGCAGCAGGC
rnacentral:rRNA from 1 species